rnacentral:rRNA from 1 species
UACGUAGGGGGCAAGCGUUGUCCGGAAUCAUUGGGCGUAAAGAGCGCGUAGGCGGCCCUGUAAGUCCGCUGUGAAAGUCAAGGGCUCAACCCUUGAAUGCCGGUGGAUACUGCAGGGCUAGAGUCCGGAAGAGGCGAGUGGAAUUCCUGGUGUAGCGGUGAAAUGCGCAGAUAUCAGGAGGAACACCGAUGGCGAAGGCAGCUCGCUGGGACGGUACUGACGCUAAGGCGCGAAAGCGUGGGAGCAACAGGAUUAGAAACCAU